AUUGAACGCUGGCGGCAUGCUUUACACAUGCAAGUCGAACGGUAGAGGGGGCAACCCCUUGAGAGUGGCGAACGGGUGAGUAAUGCAUCGGAACGUGCCCAGUCGUGGGGGAUAACGCAGCGAAAGCUGUGCUAAUACCGCAUACGAUCUCUGGAUGAAAGCGGGGGACCGAAAGGCCUCGCGCGAUUGGAGCGGCCGAUGUCAGAUUAGGUAGUUGGUGGGGGAAAGGCCUACCAAGCCAACGAUCUGUAGCUGGGCUGAGAGGACGACCAGCCACACUGGGACUGAGAGACGGCCCAGACUGCUACGGGAGGCAGCAGUGGGGAAUUUUGGACAAUGGGCGCAAGCCUGAUCCAGCAAUGCCGCGUGCAGGAAGAAGGCCUUCGGGUUGUAAACUGCUUUUGUACGGAACGAAACGGUCUGGGUUAAUACCCUGGGCUAAUGACGGUACCGUAAGAAUAAGCACCGGCUAACUACGUGCCAGCAGCCGCGGUAA
rnacentral:rRNA from 1 species